rnacentral:sRNA from 1 species
AGCUAGACUCCUCACCAAAAUGGGAGGUAGCCUCUGCUGCUGUGGUGAAGGUGAAGACACACUCAGCGAUUCAGCUCUACAGUAUGCACUCUGGGAUCUCCCAUUUGCUAAGGAAAGAUCUUAGCUUUGAGAAAGUGGCAAGAGAUCCCCUCUUGAGGAGACUCCGCAGGAACACCAGAGAUGAUAGUGACACACGACAACUGAGGGCAGAGGUACAGGCUGAGGAGAAAGGUGUGUAUUCUGGGAGCACUCCUUUCUAAGGAAAGACCUUCAGUGUUGCAAAAUGUGGCACUUACUAGUCUGCUUUUGCUGGAGAGACACUUUGGUUUGAGCUUCCUGACAGAAAUGAGAUUUGGACAGUUUGGUAUAAAAAACACUGAGUCCAGUAAAGAACUGUGACCAUCCACUCGAGUCCGGGGAGGCAGGAUUGUCAUUUAGGUGGAAUAGUGUGGUGUGCAUCAGGGUGGGGAGGUACGGAGGAGAGAGUCGUGUGGAGUGAUUGGGAGUGUCUUUGGGAGUUGUGUGGGCAUUUCCCCAGAAAGCAUGUU